ensembl:snRNA U6 U6 spliceosomal RNA
AUGCUCGCUUUGGCAGCACGUAUACUACAGUUGGAAUGAUACACAGGACGUUAGCAUGGCCCUUGCGCAAGGAGGACCUGCAAAUUCGUGAAAUGUUCCAUGUUUUU